CAGAAAUGUCCCAAAAGUGCAAACCCCACCCUCCUGGUACUCUAGGCAAGCUUAAGCAUAAACUGAAAAUAUUUGAACGAUUUCAAAUGGCAUUUGAACCCAGGUCUGGCUCUGAGCCUAACAGCUAUUAUGGCCAGAUGCCAGUCAUAGUAACAGAGAAUCUGUAGCAUUUGUGAGUCAGUCUCCAGCCACGUUUGACUCUCCGUAAACACAUUGUGAUUUAAGAGCUAAAAUGGCCCACGCUCUCUCUAGCCAGUUGUGUGUGAACUGAGCAAACGUUUGUUGUUCUAUCUAAUAAGCUGUCACAGUGACACACACACGACCAAACACUAUCAUGGUCGACUCAACAGAAGGUUCAUUUUCGGAGUCAAGCAGCAUCGGUAGUAUUAUUGAGAGUUGUGAACACAGAAAAAGUGUUGGAGUUGUAUCUUUCCAGUGAUAGUGACCAUCUUCAUACGAAACCUUCAGGGCUAUGUCCUACACUGUCACACUACCAGCCCACCUCAAGUUUCUUUCUCUCCUUCUGUAGCCACUUUCACAAAGAGACAGGUUGUAGCUCAUCAGGAUGCAUGGCUCAAUUAGGCCUCUUUAGCCCUUCCAUACUGUCCAGUUCUGUGACCCAUCCACAUAUAGGUAACUGCCACAUCCACAUACAGGUAACUGACCCAUCCCCAUACAGGUAACUGCCACAUCCACAUACAGGUAACUGACCCAUCCACAUACAGGUAACUGACCCAUCCACAUACAGGUAACUGACCCAUCCACAUACAGGUAACUGACCCAUCCACAUACAGGUAACUGACACAUCCACAUACAGGUAACUGACACAUCCACAUACAGGUAACUGACCCAUCCACAUACAGGUAACUGACACAUCCACAUACAGGUAACUGACACAUCCCCAUACAGGUAACUGACACAUCCCCAUACAGGUAACUGACCCAUCCACAUACAGGUAACUGACCCAUCCACAUACAGGUAACUGACACAUCCACAUACAGGUAACUGACACAUCCAUAUACAGGUAACUGACCCAUCCACAUACAGGUAACUGACCCAUCCACAUACAGGUAACUGACUCAUCUCCAUACAGGUAACUGACUCAUCCACAUACAGGUAACUGACUCAUCCCCAUACAGGUAACUGACACAUCCCCAUACAGGUAACUGACUCAUCUCCAUACAGGUAACUGACUCAUCCACAUACAGGUAACUGACUCAUCCCCAUACAGGUAACUGACACAUCCCCAUACAGGUAACUGACCCAUCCACAUACAGGUAACUGACACAUCCACAUACAGGUAACUGCGACAUCCACAUACAGGUAACUGACACAUCCACAUACAGGUAACUGACCCAUCCACAUACAGGUAACUGACCCAUCCACAUACAGGUAACUGACACAUCCACAUACAGGUAACUGACCCAUCCACAUACAGGUAACUGACACAUCCACAUACAGGUAACUGACACAUCCACAUACAGGUAACUGACCCAUCCACAUACAGGUAACUGACCCAUCCACAUACAGGUAACUGCCAUAUCCACAUACAGGUAACUGCCACAUCCACAUACAGGUAACUGACCCAUCCACAUACAGGUAACUGCCACGUCCACAUACAGGUAACUGACACAUCCAUAUACAGGUAACUGACCCAUCCACAUACAGGUAACUGACCCAUCCACAUACAGGUAACUGCCACAUCCACAUACAGGUAACUGCCAUAUCCACAUACAGGUAACUGCGACAUCCACAUACAGGUAACUGCGACAUCCACAUACAAGUAACUGACACAUCCACAUACAGGUAACUGCCACAUCCACAUACAGGUAACUGCCACAUCCCCAUACAGGUAACUGCCACAUCCACAUACAGGUAACUGCCACAUCCACAUACAGGUAACUGCCACAUCCACAUACAGGUAACUGACACAUCCACAUACAGGUAACUGCCACAUCCACAUACAGGUAACUGCGACAUCCACAUACAGGUAACUGACACAUCCCCAUACAGGUAACUGACCCAUCCACAUACAGGUAACUGACACAUCCACAUACAGGUAACUGACACAUCCACAUACAGGUAACUGACACAUCCACAUACAGGUAACUGCCAUAUCCACAUACAGGUAACUGCCACAACAAUGGAAACAUAAAGUGUCUUAACAGGGCUUUGGGCCUCAUAUCUCUACAUUCUUACGUCUGGUCCCAGAUCUGUAGCAGCACAAACAGGACUGUGACAAGGCUUUGUAUAUUUGCAUGGGCAGAACAGUGUUUGUUAACAGCAGAGCAAAAGAGGAAGUUAGAGCUAGGCUUUUCUCAUGCCAGUUCAUCUCCAGUGUGUACGUAUCACAUGCCUCUCUUGGGUUGGUUAAUCAGCGGUCGUGUUGUGUUUGCUCUGUUCGGAAUACAAGCGGGGCAAGAC
rnacentral:lncRNA from 1 species